GAGUGAACCGGGAAGAGCUCAAGCUGAAAAUCCUCGGAAUUGUAGUCUAUAGGUGCGGACUCGCGCAGGCUCGGGUAUAAAUCCGUUCUUGGAACUGGGUGCCAGAGAGGGUUAGAGCCCCGUCUUUGACUGCGAGUACAACUGCGCGUGACGAGUUUGCACCGGCGAGUCGGCUUGCUUGGGAAUGCAGG
rnacentral:rRNA from 1 species